rfam:Chelonia mydas contig254320, whole genome shotgun sequence.
GGCAAUGUGGCCUAAUGGGUAGAGCACUGGACUGGGACUUUGGAGAUCUGGGCUCUAUUCCCAGCUUAGCCA